UGGCUACUUUCUCCAUAGGAACGUUUGUAUCAGCUUUCACUGUGCUGUGUGGAGCCCGGACUGACCUCCCUGACAGGCACAUAUGCUGUGUCUUCUGGCUGAACAUUGCUGCUGCAUUGAUCCAGAUCCUGACAGCAAUUGUGAUGGUCGGCUGGAUUAUGAGUAUAUUCUGGGGAAUGGACAUGGUCAUUCUUGCAAGCUCCAAGGAGCAGGGAAUCCCACAGCAGCUGUAGUGGCUGGGACAAGUAUGUUCAGAGAAACACGGCGAGUGAUUUCCUUGGGCAGCUGUGGGCCACGGACCUUCUCAUUACCCUUUGUCUCUCUUCUUCCUUUUGUUUUGUGCCUGCCCCCGGUCCACCUGCCUGUCCAGCGGAGCGGCGGUACCGAGCACCCGAGGGAGACUUGCACUGACUGAGCAGCAGAGAUGGGGCAAGCGAUCGCACCUUGGGACUGGCCCCAGCGAGCCAGCGAUGGGUGGCCAAGGAGGAGGAAGAGGAGGGUGCCAAGAGGAGGGAGGCCCCUGGGCAAGGUGGCACCCAGUCAGGCAGUGGCACCAAGGGGGUGGGAGAUGCUGCACUCUCUGCUGUCCCAGCAGGAAGUGGCCAGAGCUAUUCUGCCUCCUGUUUCGCUUGCUGUUAAAGAAAACCAGCUGUGAGCAUCAAAUGCCAAGGAGCUAUUAAUAGGUACAUGUACAGUCUGUAAAAGCAAACAAGUUGUACAAUUUUUCCCCUCCAAGAAGCCAUCCUUGACUGCUUCGUGGCAACAAAGGGCUCAGCCCAGCCUCCUCUGCUGUGUAUUUAUGAUGCUUGGCGAAGCUAUAUCAUUGCAAACGUCUUGAGAAAUGUGUUCUCUGUAAAUCGUGUUGUACUGCUGAACUGAAUUGGGCUAUUCCCUCCUUCAAUCCAUUGGCACCAUGCAAGCACCUGCCCCCACCGGGCCCAGGAGGCUCCUGGUAGCAGCAGACAGGGCACUCCAAGCUGCCAAAAGCUCCUUCUUUAAAGGCUUUUCCUCCCCUGCCCCUGGAAGGGAUGUGCUGGCAGUGUCUCUUUGCUUUGGAAAUGGAUCCCUGCAGUGCAACCCACGGUACCGACUGACACUGCGACUCUGCUCUGCUACCCAGGGGCCAGAAGAAUCACCCAGCACCUUCAUUCCCCCCCCCCCCGCUGCAGGAGCACAUUGCAUCCUGGAGGUCUCACUCGUGCCAGCAGGAGCAAAGCCCCGAUCCUCUCCUCACUGGACAUAUCAGCUGAUGCUUCCACCAGAAUAUUCCCCUCUGCCUCCCCUACUGCCUCCUUUCACAGUUAUAGUACAGCGAGGCUGUGGCCGUGCUUCUUGCUGAUCCCUGCACACAAUCCAGCUGCCAACAUGGACUUAGGCGUGUGGCACUGAGCUGGCUCUGUAUCAUCCUUAGCUUUGUGAGAAUAAAUGUUUUAGGUGCAAGUGUUACAGCUAAAAGCAAUAGUAACUGAUGAAGACUGCAACUGCUUCGCCACCAUCAGCCAGCAACAAACUAUUUUCUGCUGCUCUUUCCUGAUUGUGAAAACCGGCUUUUUCAAAAAGGGCUGCAAUGAAACAGUUUCAGCCAGGCUGAAAUGCUGCUUUACUGCUUGUCGGGAAGCACUGUCAGGUAGAGACCAAACCAAACACUUUUCUGGAUUUGUGGUCAGUCAUCGUGUAGCUUCACAGCUGAAGCACUGCAGUGGGGAGAGAGUGGAAAUGUUGAUGAAUUUGUUGGUGUUGUCAGUUCUGUACUUACCAUAGAAAAAGGGCUGUGGAAAAUGCUUGCUGUCCUGCCCAAAUCCAAGAAAGCUGCAUGUUCCUCCCCAUGUGCAUCAGCUGCCACACAUUUCACUAAAGACUUUUUGCUGGACACUGCUCCUUGGCGCACAGCCUCUGUGCUGCAGGAGGUGUUACGCAGAGCUCCACCUCCGGGAAGAUCACACAUGAAGACUCACAGGGCCGAUACUCUUCAGGGGCAGCUUUGUUCCAUCCUGGUGUUGCAUUCUCUCCUUUUUGGGAUGACCCACACACAUGCUCAGCCAGCAGACUCUCCUCUCGCCCUACCACUGCACAGCACCACGGGGGCACUGCACAGGGCUUUGUCCCACAAAUACUUUUUUGAGCUAUUCAUUCUGAACAACAGCUUCUACAUGUCAACACUGGCACUCAGAAUAGCCUAAGAAGAGCCAUAAAUGCAGACAAACCUAAUGUUUCUUCCAGCCUAAAGUGGAGGCUUCUCCCAGGUGCUCAGAGGCAAUGCACCCCUUUGGAUCCCAGCUGAGGUUUCUCUGUGUUUGUGCGCACAAUUCACUUUCAGACAGUUUGGGGAUUAAUUUUCCUACCUGGAACUCAGCACUUCCAGUCUACCUGCAUAACAUCCCAAGUGACCAUGGCACCAGAUGGACUGGGAUCAAGCAACAAGCCCAGCAGGAGCCCAUACCACAUACCACCAAUCCUUCUUCCCCAUCAUCUGUAAUUGUGACCUCUCCCUGCACUCACCCAGAGGGCAGCAGCACUCCCUUGGUAUGCUUCCGCCCUAGUGAGGAGGGAACUGAUGCCUGCGUGCAUCAUCUGCUCCCUAUAUGGAGUUGGUGCUGGUGCCCUGACGUUCAGCCUGCAUUCUGUUUCUGUGCUGGUGCCUGACCUGACCCCUGCAGUUCAUGGAGGAGGGCUUGUGUGCCACUGAUCUUGCUGGUUGUGAUGUGCUUUGAUACCGUGGAUUUUCUCUCCCUCUCUCUCUCUCUUCUUUUUCUUUUUUUUUUUAAGUUAAAUAUAUUCUAUUGCUGUACAGCUGGAAUGAAACACAUUCUCUUUAUGUAGCCCAGAGAAACUCUACCAGGCCUGAAUUUAGAUGAGAUUUCUUCCCAUGGGGCAGCAGAGGCCUGGCUGGGGUUCUCACUUCAGUGUGGCCAUCCCUGUGCUGCUGAGACAGUGAGAGCAAAGCCUGCCCUGUAGCUGGCAGGGUGCUGUCUCACCUCGGUCUUCUCUGCAACCUUUGCACUUUGAAACGACUCUGGUCACAUUCCCAUACGUGAGCUGGUGCCACUGGGCAGGUGGGCUCUGGGGAGGGUAUGAAGUUAUCGUGGUGGGGUUGCGAUGGGGUCCCUGCCGGGUGUGCCAGAUACCUGUAGGCUCAGCUGGGGAGUUCUGCUUGGAGGAGGUCCCACAGGGCUGACAGCCCACCAAAAUGCAACUGGGUAUUUUGACUGAGAAGUCCCUUUCUGGAUACCACUAUCCAAGAGCAGCAAUGACCCUUUCCUUUACUCCACAGCUACUCCACAGCAGGCACAUUGCACACACAGGUAAGGAUCUGGAAACCAGCCCCCUCCCAAACACAGGAACCUUCCCGAGCUGCUGGACCCCACCAGCACCAAUCCAGGCAUGCUCACGGUGACAGUCAUCACCUAGAAGUGAUCUCUGCAGCUGGAGCUCACCUGGGGGCAAAAUAGGAUUAGCGCAGGUUGUAUACGUGCUAAUCUCAUAAACCUUACAGUCAAGCUGUUCAAACAUACAUAUGAACCCUAAUAAAGCCAUGAGAGGAGAACAAACGAUCCCAGAAAUGAUGUUGCAGUCACAGUACGCUUUGGAGAGAGUUUGCGAGGGAGAAUCGGAGCAGCGUGGAGGAGGACGGAGCUCCGCGUGACGCCGCGGGAGCAGCGGCGGUGCUGCGGCCGUGCAGCGCCCCGCGCCUCGCAACCACGGCGGGAAGAGGAGAGCUAUGCCGUGUCUUCUGGAGAUAGAGUAGCCUUGAUAGUAUGCAAAGCCGCAGGAUGUGAAGCCUGGGUGAUCCCAUCUCCUGCCCUACAGCCUGCGUCACACAAGUCUCCCAUUUAGGCCCUUCACACGCUGACUCCCACGUGUACAUGCAGUUUCCAGACCAUCUAAAAUAAAUGUGACUUAAAAAAAGAAACUAGUGAAGAGGUUCUGGGGAAAAUGGGCAAGGAAGCUCCUGUUUAACAUCUGUUCUGAGACACUAGGGUUGGAGUAUCUCCCCUACUGGGACAGGUUGACAGAGUUGGGGCUCUUCAGCCUGGAGAAGAGAAGGUUCUGGAAGGACCUGAGAGCGGC